UAAAGAAGGUAUUAAUCCAAUGGGGUUUACAGCAUAACAUCAUCGUAUCACACGCCAUCCAUGUGAAAUCUUAAAUAACACCUCGAAACACCAAGAGGCCAAUCUCCAACCAUAAGUCACUGGGAGUAGUUACUUGGAACAAGCCUUUUGGAGGCAUUCCAGCUCCUUUUCGUAUUAUCACUUGAACCUACAGGAGGCAUGAUUUUUGCACUAUCCUAGUGCUCAUUUCCGGAGAUGCGCCAGCAACCUAUUUAGGAGUCGUUCGGGUUUGUUUGGGAACUACCAGUGGGUGACAUUAGUAACUAUUAUUUAGUUUACCUAUUUAUAUAACAUAUUUGUAUAUUAUGGUAUUAAGUUCCCAAACUCAUGUAUCAUUUUGCGGUACUGUACGUUGAGCUCUGCGUAUUUGCCCAAAA
rnacentral:lncRNA from 1 species